GUGGACUGUGGGAUGAGGUAGUAGUUUGUAUAGUUUUAGGAUCACACCAGAUCUGGGAGAUAACUAUACAGUCUACUGUCUUUCCCACGGUUACCGC
ensembl:miRNA mirlet7g-2 microRNA let7g-2